rnacentral:rRNA from 1 species
UACGUAGGUGGCAAGCGUUAUCCGGAUUUAUUGGGUUUAAAGGGUGCGUAGGCGGUUUGAUAAGUUAGAGGUGAAAUGUCGGGGCUCAACCCCGAAACUGCCUCUAAUACUGUUGGACUAGAGAAUAGUUGCGGUAGGCGGAAUGUAUGGUGUAGCGGUGAAAUGCUUAGAGAUCAUACAGAACACCGAUUGCGAAGGCAGCUUACCAAACUAUAUCUGACGUUGAGGCACGAAAGCGUGGGUAGCAAACAGG